AGCACAUCGAACCAAACACAUAGCUAACCAGAGCAUGGCCCAUGCGAGCUGACCAGCCGGGCUAGCCCAGCUAUAGCUUUGUUGGGAGAUGGAACCAAACGCGCCCCAAUUCUCCCGACCCAGUUGCCUCCCGCGUUUCCCACCUCGCUCAUUUUCCCACCCGCGCAGUCUCUCGCGAUUUAGCGCGAAACCUAGAGAAGCAGCGGCGGCGGCGGCGACGAGUGCGGCCACCGGCUACUCCGCGAUCUGCCAAGGUAAAUACUACUUAGUUGAUGCCGGCUAUGGGGCUAAGCCUGGAUUCCUCCCUCCCUUCUGCAGUACAAGAUACCACCUCAAUGAAUGGGGACACCAUCCAGUUGAAAAUGCAGAGGAAUUAUUUAAUCUUGGGCACUCUUCCCUUCGCAUGAAAGUAGAGUGUGCAUUUGGGUCCCUCAAGAGAAGAUUCAAAGUCCUAGAUGAUAUUAAGCCUUUUUUUCCCAUACCUGACUCAAGUUGAUAUAGUUCAAGCAUGUUGCAUCAUACGUAAUUGGAUGUUGAGUGAUGGGGCAGAUGAUUUUUUUAUGGAAGCACAAACUGAGCCACCUCAAGAAACAACAUUUCAUGUCCAUGCUACAACUACAAGAGAACAAGCUAGGGAACAUCAAGCCAUUGUUACUCGUAGGAAUAAUAUAGCAAAUGCAAUGUGGGCAGCCCGUGCAGAAUACUUGGCAAACCAGGGUGCUUAGAUUGUUUCUUAUGCAAUAUUGAUGUUAUAUUUUCUAUCGGAUAUUCAUGUAAUGAGGUGACACAAUUUGUGUACCAUUCGUGGGUGAAAAUAUGCAUUUAUUAUGAACUUAUUUACAA